CCUACGGGAGGCAGCAGUGAGGAAUAUUGGUCAAUGGACGCAAGUCUGAACCAGCCAUGCCGCGUGCAGGAAGACGGCUCUAUGAGUUGUAAACUGCUUUUGUACGAGGGUAAACGCAGAUACGUGUAUCUGUCUGAAAGUAUCCUAAGAAUAAGGAUCGGCUAACUCCGGUCCAGCAGCCGCGGGAAUACGGAGGAUUUAAGCGUUGUCCGGAUUUAAUGGGGUUAAAGGGUGCGUAGGCGGUCGGACAAGGUAGACGUGAAAUCCCGAGGCUCAAACUCGGAAUUGCAUAUGAUACUGUUCGGCUAGAGAGUAGGUGCGGUAGGCGGAAUGUAUGGUGUAGCGGUGAAAUGCGUAGAGAUCAUACAGAACACCGAUUGCGAAGGCAGCUUACCAAGCUACAACUGACGUUGAGGCACGAAAGCGUGGGGAGCAAACAGGAUUAGAUACCCGAGUAGUC
rnacentral:rRNA from 1 species